GAGCACUGCAGAUCCUUUCUAUAGUGGUCUUCCUCUAUCUAUCUGCAUGUUUCUUAAAAAACUCACAUGGCUACUCUUCAUUAGGUCUCAUAAGCACUAUUUCAUCAAGUCUAUAUUGAGAGUUAUCACAGCAUCAAAGUUCACGAUCAGACCAUUCAACAAAUCAGGCAUCAAGCUAAGCAAUACAGAUGCUUUCUACUCAUCAU
rnacentral:lncRNA from 1 species